rnacentral:rRNA from 1 species
AACGCUAGCUACAGGCUUAACACAUGCAAGUCGAGGGGCAGCAUCAUCAAAGCUUGCUUUGAUGGAUGGCGACCGGCGCACGGGUGAGUAACACGUAUCCAACCUGCCGACAACACUGGGAUAGCCUUUCGAAAGAAAGAUUAAUACCGGAUGGCAUAGUUUUCCCGCAUGGGAUAAUUAUUAAAGAAUUUCGGUUGUCGAUGGGGAUGCGUUCCAUUAGGCAGUUGGCGGGGUAACGGCCCACCAAACCAACGAUGGAUAGGGGUUCUGAGAGGAAGGUCCCCCACAUUGGAACUGAGACACGGUCCAAACUCCUACGGGAGGCAGCAGUGAGGAAUAUUGGUCAAUGGACGAGAGUCUGAACCAGCCAAGUAGCGUGAAGGAUGACUGCCCUAUGGGUUGUAAACUUCUUUUAUACGGGAAUAAAGUGAGCCACGUGUGGCUUUUUGUAUGUACCGUAUGAAUAAGGAUCGGCUAACUCCGUGCCAGCAGCCGCGGUAAUACGGAGGAUCCGAGCGUUAUCCGGAUUUAUUGGGUUUAAAGGGAGCGUAGGCGGGUUGUUAAGUCAGUUGUGAAAGUUUGCGGCUCAACCGUAAAAUUGCAGUUGAUACUGGCGACCUUGAGUGCAACAGAGGUAGGCGGAAUUCGUGGUGUAGCGGUGAAAUGCUUAGAUAUCACGAAGAACUCCGAUUG